GGGCCAUAUAGCUCAGUGGCAGAGCGGUUGCCCUGCAUGCAGAAGGUCGCAGGUUCAACUCCCAACAUCUCCA